UACGUAGGUGGCAAGCGUUGUCCGGAUUUACUGGGCGUAAAGAGCGCGCAGGCGGCCAAGUAAGUCGAAUGUGAAAGCCCCCGGCUUAACUGGGGAGGGUCAUUCGAUACUGCUCGGCUCGAAGACAGGAGAGGGAAGUGGAAUUCCCGGUGUAGUGGUGAAAUGCGUAGAUAUCGGGAGGAACACCAGUGGCGAAGGCGGCUCUCUGGGACGGUACUGACGCUGAGACGCGAAAGCGUGGGGAGCAAACAGG
rnacentral:rRNA from 1 species